CGGGUUCCCAACCUUAUCAAGUUCACAGGCAUCUCGAUCACCAAGGAAGGCCAGUACAGCCUGGUCCUUGAUAUUGCAGACCACCCGGUCAAAUUUACGAGUUCGUUCGACGUAAAGCUUUUUUCACUGGGACUGAGACACGGCCCAGACUCCUACGGGAGGCAGCAGUGGGGAAUAUUGCGCAAUGGGCGAAAGCCUGACGCAGCAACGCCGCGUGGAGGAUGAAGGCUCUCGGGUUGUAAACUCCUUUCAGCAGGGACGAAAAUGACGGUACCUGCAGAAGAAGCCCCGGCUAACUACGUGCCAGCAGCCGCGGUGAGACGUAGGGGGCAAGCGUUGUCCGGAUUUAU
rnacentral:rRNA from 1 species